rnacentral:lncRNA from 1 species
AGGACGGCCCAGCUCCACGCUGUGGUCACCAUGGAGGAGGACGGCCCAGCCCUGCGCUGUGGUCACCAUGGAGGAGGACGGCCUAGCCCCGUGCUGUGGUCACCAUGGAGGAGGACGGCCUAGCUCCACGUUGUGGUCACCAUAGAGGAGGACGGCCCAGCCCCGUGCUGUGGUCACCAUGGAGGAGGACGGCCUAGCCCCGUGCUGUGGUCACCAUGGAGGAGGACGGCCCAGCCCCGCGCUGUGGUCACCAUGG